UCCAUCUCUCUCUCACCCAAAUUCCAUCCACUUCACCUCUCCAUCUUCCACUAUCACUCUCUCACUUAAAUUGCCUCCACAUCUUGUCGUUUCAUCUUUCACUCUCACUCUCAUUCUCUCUCCCUCUCCCUCUCCCUCUCCCUCUCCAUCUCCAUCUCCCUUCCAUUCCAUCAAAGGUUCUCACGGCUGAAGAAAUCGAUCGCCCUGAAGAAAUCGACCGCCGGUGACGGAGACGGUGUUGUGAUGUUCACGUUAAAUGGCGAGAAAUGCCCCCCCAAAAAAAGAGGGCGGGCGUCAUCUUCAAAGUAGGAAGCUUCUGGCUCUAAGUUUGGCUCCCCCUCCUCCAACGAAGCUCGACACAUAAUAGACGUAGAUAAGGAGACGUGGGACAUCUGCGGCUGUGGACAGAAUAUAUAUUCUACCCGAAGCUUGAAUAUACAUGGUGUGGCAUAGCAUGAAGUAGAGAAAACUUCUGAGGUUCCAUUUAAACUUGCACAGCCACAACCACAAAAUGUCGAUGUUAUGGCUGCCUCAAGCAGACUUCCAUCUGUACAGAGUGACGUCGUUGCUAAUGAGGUGGAUGUACAGUCUGGCUAAAGCACGUAAACAAUGAAGAAUGAGAGUGGUACAGAGAGAAGUUAUGAAAAAUUUGAUGGAUGUUGAGGAGCAAGCCUCACAAGAACCAAUAGUUGAUAAACAUUCAUCUGUGCAAGUUGAGGAGCAAACCCCACAAGAACCAAUAGUUGAUGCUCAUCCAACCGCCACAGAUUGAAACAGUUAGUCAUGAGGUGUGUAUCUGAUUUGACAUUAUGAAAUUAACAGUUGGUAAUAGUUGACGAGUGUAGUAACUUAAUUUGAUAUUACCCUUGUCCCACUCAAGAAGGUAAUUGAUUUUAACGAGGAGAUAUGAUAGAGAGAUUUCUUUCCAAAUAUAGAAAGUGAGACAAACUAAAAAGAAAAUAUGGACAUCUUGAGUGGGACAGUGAAAGUAUUUUUUUGUAGCAUGGUGUGGCAGCGCAUGAAGUAGAGAAAACUUCUGAGGUUCCAUUUGAACCUGCACAGCCACAACCACAGGCUGUUGAUGAUGAUGUGGCUGUUGAUGGUGAUGUGGCUGUUGAUGGUGAUGUGGCUGCCUCAAGCAGGCUUCCAUCUGUUCAUGCCGUUGGUAAUGAUGUACUGAUUGCGUAUGUUUAGGUGUCAUCCGAUGCACCAGGUAUUGGAGUAGGGAGUGGCAUGAGAACCGAGAAUGAAGUGUAAAGACCCGUUUUGAAUAAUUUGGUGAAGCACAUGAGUAUUUGUUCAUUGACAACUUGGCAAAAAACUGGGAGCAGUACCUUGAAAACUUGGCUGAAGGUGAAGCAUGACAAUAGUUCGAGGAGAACGUGGGCGGAGUUGAUGUUCAAGCUUCGCAAAACUUGGCCGGUGCAGCACCUCUAGAUGAUAACUUGGGCGGGGGCGGACCCCAAGUUGAGGAGGAGAACCUGGCUACAGCAACGAAGAACAUCAUUAGAUCAGCCGCCAAUCAGGGUAAGGAAAACUUGGGCCCAGACAAGUGCAAGACGUUUAACUCAAAUAUUGUACUUGCUCGUGAUAAGCCAAUAAUAACCAUGCUGGAGGAGAUUCUAACACAACAGCUGGAGCGCAUACAGAUCAAAGAUAAAUGGGUGAAGAACUACGAUUUCCUGGUACCUUCUGUGAUAAAGGAGAUUAUUGAUAAAGUAGCCACUGAGUCGACCUCAUGGAGAUCGUUGUGGAAUGGUGAGAUUGAAUACCAAGUAACAGGCCCUUAUGGUCAAUUUGUGGUGAACUUGUGAGCAAAGACAUGCACGUGUAGGCUUUCGCAACUCAGAGGUAUCCCAUGUGUGCAUGCAGCAGCAUAUAUCUUGAAACUCAGCGAUUCCAUCACAGAUUAUGUGUUUGAAUAUUACUCAUGGAUCCGCAUGUCCGCCCUCUACAAGCACGUCUUGUAUCCUAUCAAUGGGAAGGAAAUUGGUCUAGAUCGUCGGAAGUUGGUUUUGAACUGGAUCCCCAAACACAAAAGGAUAGCGUGGCCGCCCACGUAGGCUUAGAAGAGAACAAAAUCAGCCGGUACGAUGAUACAGGGCACAAUAGGAGAACAUGUCAAAACGAUGCUCGACCACCGACUAGUCAAAGGAGUGGAGCAACUUCUAGCCAACCGCAAUCUGGUGAGGGGCAUCUUCAAGUGGAUCAACUUCCGCACCGCGGGCUGCUCCGGUCGGUUAAGCACCAGCAGCAGAGACAGGGCAGCCUGCUCGGGGACAUCGGAAGCGGCAGAUCUAGCUCGUCCAGUAAGAAACACCAGGAGGGCUUAGAGGUGUGGCUGUCGCAGAAACGCCGAUUAAACUUGUGGGUGUCAAUAUGGGAUUUUUUUUGUGCUGUUGUGUUUCGUUUUGUGAACAUUACUUACAAUCUGGUUUUUUUGUCUUGAAAUUUACGGACUUCGAUUGGAACCUAGCAUUUUAGGUGGUUUUUUUAUUGUUUUGGGACAUGGUAUCCCCGUGGUGAUGGCAGACUAAUGAUGAUUUUUGUUGGGUUUGUUGUGUGCAUCUACUACCCAGCUUUCGUUUGUUAUAUGCACAUUAAUCUAUAUUUUAUGGUGAUAACCUUUACAUA